rnacentral:lncRNA from 1 species
GUUUGUUGUAUUUUGCGUUGUGUUUUGUUCUAUAUUUAUGUUUUUCCUUAAUUAUUAUAACGUUUGUUUAUUCUUUUGUUUGCAUUCAGCCAAGAACACGGAACUCUUGUCCACUAACCAAAAUGUGGACGAAGACACUUCCGAUGAGUGGCUCAACUUAAAUUUAAGUUCAAAAUCAUUAAACCAAUUCAAUGCAGAGGAUGAAGAGGGCGGUAUCGAUGAGAGAACCGCAGCUUUAGAGGACCUGGACGAGCUGACGGAGGACUCUAUCGAAUACCUAGCAGGGUACGUGGUACGAAAGCUAAAAAUCGAAAAUAAUGUUGCCGACAAACACACUUUCACUUAUGUCGAUGAAGUUUCGCAUGGCGGAUUAAUCAAACCAACGGAACCAUUUAUGGAAAUAGUUAAGCAGCUAGAAUUAAUUUUUUUAAGAACAGUUGACGAUAGAAUUAAAAUAACUUCCGAUUUACAAAAAAAUUGAUAGUGGCUGCCGAAGGCAGUAGUUGUAAUUUAGAUAUAAAAAAUGUUUAUUUCAAAAUUAGAAUUUAU